AACCAAGGGAGGGUAAGCACUGACUCAGCACAGGCAUUUGCUACUUUUUCUCUUAGAAGCAUCUUCAAGGUCCCAGAGGAGGGAUAAAUGCCCAACAAGCUCUGAGGCCCCCACAAGACUCAGCUGGCGCGCUACUGGGGUGCAAGCAGGGUGCGGCAGCAGCUCUGGGGUUAUUGGCACUCGCUGUUCCAUUUUCCUAUGUAUAUACCUCUUUGAGAAGUCACUUUAAAGAGGCAUAGAGCAUGGGAAAAUGGGGCUGCGGGGUAUUCCACCCAUCCUCUCGUCAUGACAGCUGGCGUCUACGUUCACACACAGCUGCUCACCGCUCAUGCAUUAAGUAUAUGUGAAAUUUGUGAUGUCGGAGUUCUGAUUCCUAUGUAUAGAUUAUGAGAAAUGGCUUUUCUGGUGGUGUGAUAUUGCGUGUUUUCUCAGUUAUUACUCACAUAAUUUGUCUGGUCGACGUUUUUAAUAAAGAUCCCAUGUACGAAAACAAUCGACUUGUUCAUGAAAAUUCAGACUUAAUGGCAUUUGAUUAUGGUGGACUGAACUGUAUCGGAAAUAGGAUCUACAUUCUAUCUUUAACUUGUGUAUGUAUGCCUUAGGGUGCUGAUACACUCGGCAAUAUUUCUGAGUAACUCAAAGCAAAAGUGCUCAAGAUAUGACCUCUGUAUCACUGCUCUAACCUCAUUUGAUUUUUUUUUUUUGACAAAUUAAAAUACCCAUCAAUACUUAACAUA